GGACGGGCGGAGUGCUAUACAUGCAGUCGAACGCGUUGGCCCAAUUGAUUGAUGGUGCUUGCACCUGAUUGAUUUUGGUCGCCAACGAGUGGCGGACGGGUGAGUAACACGUAGGUAACCUGCCCAGAAGCGGGGGACAACAUUUGGAAACAGAUGCUAAUACCGCAUAACAGCGUUGUUCGCAUGAACAACGCUUAAAAGAUGGCUUCUCGCUAUCACUUCUGGAUGGACCUGCGGUGCAUUAGCUUGUUGGUGGGGUAACGGCCUACCAAGGCGAUGAUGCAUAGCCGAGUUGAGAGACUGAUCGGCCACAAUGGGACUGAGACACGGCCCAUACUCCUACGGGAGGCAGCAGUAGGGAAUCUUCCACAAUGGGCGCAAGCCUGAUGGAGCAACACCGCGUGAGUGAAGAAGGGUUUCGGCUCGUAAAGCUCUGUUGUUAAAGAAGAACACGUAUGAGAGUAACUGUUCAUACGUUGACGGUAUUUAACCAGAAAGUCACGGCUAACUACGUGCCAGCAGCCGCGGUAAUACGUAGGUGGCAAGCGUUAUCCGGAUUUAUUGGGCGUAAAGAGAGUGCAGGCGGUUUUCUAAGUCUGAUGUGAAAGCCUUCGGCUUAACCGGAGAAGUGCAUCGGAAACUGGAUAACUUGAGUGCAGAAGAGGGUAGUGGAACUCCAUGUGUAGCGGUGGAAUGCGUAGAUAUAUGGAAGAACACCAGUGGCGAAGGCGGCUACCUGGUCUGCAACUGACGCUGAGACUCGAAAGCAUGGGUAGCGAACAGGAUUAGAUACCCUGGUAGUCCAUGCCGUAAACGAUGAGUGCUAGGUGUUGGAGGGUUUCCGCCCUUCAGUGCCGGAGCUAACGCAUUAAGCACUCCGCCUGGGGAGUACGACCGCAAGGUUGAAACUCAAAGGAAUUGACGGGGGCCCGCACAAGCGGUGGAGCAUGUGGUUUAAUUCGAAGCUACGCGAAGAACCUUACCAGGUCUUGACAUCUUGCGCCAACCCUAGAGAUAGGGCGUUUCCUUCGGGAACGCAAUGACAGGUGGUGCAUGGUCGUCGUCAGCUCGUGUCGUGAGAUGUUGGGUUAAGUCCCGCAACGAGCGCAACCCUUGUUACUAGUUGCCAGCAUUAAGUUGGGCACUCUAGUGAGACUGCCGGUGACAAACCGGAGGAAGGUGGGGACGACGUCAGAUCAUCAUGCCCCUUAUGACCUGGGCUACACACGUGCUACAAUGGACGGUACAACGAGUCGCGAACUCGCGAGGGCAAGCAAAUCUCUUAAAACCGUUCUCAGUUCGGACUGCAGGCUGCAACUCGCCUGCACGAAGUCGGAAUCGCUAGUAAUCGCGGAUCAGCAUGCCGCGGUGAAUACGUUCCCGGGCCUUGUACACACCGCCCGUCACACCAUGAGAGUUUGUAACACCCAAAGUCGGUGGGGUAACCUUUUAGGAGCCAGCCGCUAAGGUGACAGAUUUGG
rnacentral:rRNA from 1 species